UAUAUAUAUUAUACAUAGAUAAAUAUAUAUAUAUAUAAAAAGGAAAUCUUAUUACUCAAGAGUAGGCGUAAUCCAGUAGCAUCGUGGUCAUUAGACAUUCUGAAAUACCAAGAGUAUUAUGCGCUUAAAGGACUUGAAUGAUGAUAAAAUAUAUUAGCUACUGCUUAACAGCUUUCUUUUAAAUCCCAAGUCUAAACAAGCUUGCACAUACGCAACGAAAUGUCAAAGACAAGUUAACGUUUUAAUCAAAUUGCGGUAGGAAACAAAAGCAUUAUGUCACAACGCCAUCUAGUGGCCUCGUCGGACAAAUACAUCAUUCUGUGUUAAUUUUCAUUUGAAAGCCAAGUUUGGCCGAAAGAUAAAUGCAUCCAUUCCUAACCAUUUAAGUAGAUAUGCGAGAUUUCAUGUUAUCACCCAAUACUUCCAUGUUUAUUUCUACUCUACCAUGCAAAAAGAAAGUAUGGAUUUCAUUAAUAACAAUCAAUGAUAUAAGUAUCUGUUGCUGGUUAAAAAUAUAAUAUAUCAGUCACACUGAGCUGAUGAGAAUAUACUUUUUAAUAAUCAUUUUCUUUUCCACAGUGAUCAGCUAUAAACACUGCCCAACACAUAUAGAUUAAUUACAGCAAUGAUCAUCCAACAGUGGAAGUCAAAUGGGGGUUAACAUUACACAUGUGGCCACAGUAGACUUUUCAUGGUUUCUUUUUGUAUACAAUACACUUUGUAGAUUAUGGAUGAUUGCCUCAGUUUGAAGAACAUACUGAUGAAUGCAAACCUCACAUUGCUAUGUCUUAUGCAGCCCUCAUGCAUGGGGCCAAUACCAGUAUCCCAUGGUCAGUCCCAACGAGUAGUCUAAUCAGAGCUGACACGCAUGAAAACAAAAACAGGAACAGAAUAAACAUGGAUGUCAACCACACAUUCACACACAUGCGAAUGCUCACAUGCACGCAAACACACGCACAGAAACACAUGCAUGUAUGUAAAUACACACAGGUGUACACGUUACAAAAAAUAAUUGUAUAGGUAACCUUCGUCCUCAUUAACCAACAUAUUAUACAUAAAUUACUAAUAGUUGCUCCUUAAUUGCUAUUUUUCACUCACUCUGCCUUUACCUUUUUGCAUAUGAUUGAGAAAGAUAUGCAUAUAUAUAUAUAUAUGCAUAUAAAUAGUGUGUGUGUGUGUGUGUGUGUGUGUGUGUGUGUGUGUGUGUGUGUGUGUGUGUGUGUGUGUGUGUGUGUGUGUGUGUGUGUGUGUGUGUGUGUGUGUGUGUGCGAGAGAGAUUAUUACUAAUGAAUAGAAUUUGAUCUAAAUGCAGUCAUCUGACAGGAGACCAUUUUUUUUUGUAGAAAAUAAUUUGACGAUUAAGGCAUUAUGAACACUAGUCAAAGUCAGACCACAAAGUUUUCCAUCUGGACACAAGACACUAUCGAAAAUAAAAAAAGAAACCAGCUGUACUGUAAAGGAACACGAAUUAAACACAGUAAGUACUAAAUGAACAAUCAACACACUAUUCACCGUCGACAACAGAUGGUAGCAUAUAAAACACGUUUCAACCGUCAACUCCAUGUGCAGCAUUUGCAUGCUUAAAAAAAAAGACAACACAUUUUAGGCUUCAUGAAAAAGGAUCAAUCCACGCUGUACAAUGAACAACAAUAGAUCAAAUGAACGCAUGAAGUCGUAGAAAAGUGCUGAGGCACGGCUUUCAAGCGACCGUUUCCCCAGCGCUGUUGUCCGUAUUGCAUAGCCAGAGUCACAGAGCCUAAUGAGCGCACAUGAUUUACACGGAGCGUACGGAGACAAAACCAUGCGGCGCACACACACAACGAAUCCCUGACUCACCUACAGGCUGCGGUUUGAUUGAAAGCUUCACAAACCAAUAGAUGAGAAAAUUGAGGGUUAGCCCCUCCCACAGAACAUGGCUUUUUGAUAUGAGCAGCCAUAAGUAAGUAAGAACCAGCAAGGGCGCAGGUGUUCAGUAUCCAUCGCUCUCUCUCGGCUCUCGGUUUCUAUUUUCUUCUGAUUUGUUUUCAUUCAAGUCAUGUUACGCUGUAAAUAGUUUGAUAUGACAAAAUAUUAUUAUUGAGUAUUUUUUUUGCGAUAUAAUGCAGCAAACCUGCGCACAGGUGUUUUUAUAUGUUUGUAAACAUGUCACUGCAUACUUGCAUUGCACAUAUAGGAAUUCACGUGUGAUUUGGGAUACCAGCGUUAAAAAAAGUCCAUCCCAAACUGAGUUUAGGAGUGUCUUGUCUUGAGCCCCAAGAUUUUCAUUUCCAAUAAAGACAUGAACCCAACUGCUACUGCUGCAAGAAAGAAAGACGGAAAGAAGGACAGAGAAAGAAGAAGAAAAGAAAGGAAGAAGAAAAGAAAGAAAAGCAUAACAACAACAACGUUAGGUCAGCCAUCCAUCAGUAGGGAGAAAUACGUCAUCUCCCUAUCAGAAGGGAGAAAUGACCGACCAUAAUUCCCUUCAGAGGUCAAAAAACCACCAGGUAUGACUCACUUUAUCACUCUCCCCGCCAGAGUCCCUUCUGGACUCUGAGCCGGAGUGAAGGGGAGAAUACACCCAGCUCCUGUCCUCCUGACUUUGCUGGUGGGGGGGGGGAGACAGAGCAGACGAUAAGAGCACUUCAUGGAUACAGUCAACGCAUUAAUAAACCACGUACAACCGGCCCACAUCGCUCGGAGAGACGCCCGUUUCGGUUAAGGGCAGACGAUGCGAAUCACACGCCGCUACACCAGAUCAUACCAGCCGUACACAGACAGCAGCCGCUUGCUACCAGUGCAGACUAUGCAGCUGCCAGGUCUGCUGUAACUGGGGUGUUCUAUUGGACCGAACUACAAGACAGUCGGGCUGUUGCCGGGUCUACAGGUGAGAAGCCAAGACGGGGGCGGCAACAGGCGCUUAGCGAUGCUAUGUCAGCAUUUUUUGAUUUGAAAAAAAAAAAUGCUUAGCGCUAACUAUCCUCGUGGGGACUUACAUUGUAACUCGAGCUAGAGUUUAGCUUACGGCGGCCAAGAACUGGAGAGUACACCCAGUAGCGGCCGUCUGCAUACUGAUGAAUGGAAAGACACACAUAGGCAGACAGAUGCACACACACAUACACACACACACACAUAUGUAUGUAAUGUACCCGUUACAUAAAUAUGCUCAAAGUGAGGACAGAAUGUACAGGGUACAGGAAGAGACACACAGUGUGGGGAUGAACAUAACCAGAGGAGGAAUCGAUUUGCAAUGAGAUGUAGAGACUAAAACAGAUUGAAUGUCAUGAUGAAAUGGCGCAGCAUUGUGCAUGUAUGACCAUAGAUAGAUGAGAGGCAGAGGCACACAAGCAGUGUGCAAAGACACCAUGCUGUACAGGACAGCAAAGCACUGAGAUUCAAAAGCCUUGAAUUGCCACAUGCUUCAGCCAUAUAUCAAACCAACAGAGCCAGAGACUGCACCCCAAGGUGACAUGCAAACACACACACACGCUCGCACGCACGCACCCACACACGCACGCACACACCCACGUUCGCACACACUCCCCUCACCCUCAUAACUCUACCACGCUGUCCUGACUGGUCCACUGCGAGGGACACAGUUAACAGACGUCAGAACACUUGGAUGAAACCUGAUAUUAAAUAAACACAGGUUCUCUGUACUAAAGCUGAGGUCAAACCUGUAGUUUCAGGUUUUUUGCUGACCUUAGCAUAUGGGAAGGUUUUGCAAAAUAAGUAAAUUCAGUUAAAUUGAGUAAUCUUUAUUUUAUUUUUAGAAUUUUAGCCUUGGUCUUAGCUAAUCACUCGUCACAUGUAACAGUAAGGUCACCCAUUACAAAAAACCUUGUUUUGACUCCAACACCCACAAUCCCCUGUAAUAAACAUCAACGGGUGCGGUGGGAGUGGCUUACAAAAUGGGAGGGACUUACAAAGUAGAUGUCGGAGACCGGCACCUCCCCCUCCAACGAGUUGUGGCUGCUGGACACCGAGAGCUGAUUGGACGGCGCGUGCCGCGCCUGCUGGGGCACCUGGGGGCUCGCCGGCAGGGAGGGGGGGGGCGUGGCGGAGGAGAAGGAGGAGGAGGCGAGGGUGGAGGCGCGGGGCCCGGCCAGGUCGGCGGCGGGGCGGAUGGGGUGAAGGCGG
ensembl:lncRNA